rnacentral:lncRNA from 1 species
CCCGGGGCUGUGGAAGGUUCCGGGCUCUUCCCGGGGAUCUCCCGGGGUUCCCGGGGAUCUCACAGGGUUCCUGGGGAUCUCAGGAUUCCCGGUUAUCCCGGUUUUCCCGCAGGGUUCCCGGGGAUCUCACAGGGCUCCUGGGGAUCUCAGGAUUCCCGGGGAUCUCAGGAUUCCCGGUGUUCCCGGUUUUCCCGCAGGAUUCCUGGGAUGUGGCAGGGUUCCCGGUGAUCUCAGGAUUCCCGGUUAUCCCAGUUUUCUGCAGGAUUCCCGGGAUGUGGCAGGGUUCCCGGUGAUCCCGGUGUUCCCGGUGAUCUCUCAGGAUUCCCGGUUAUCCCGGUUUUCCCGCAGGGUUCCCGGGAUGUGGCAGGGUUCCCGGUGUUCCCGGUGAUCUCUCAGGAUUCCCGGUUAUCCCGGUGUUCCCGGUGAUCUCUCAGGAUUCCCGGUUAUCCCGGUAUUCCCGGUGAUCUCUCAGGGUUCCCGGUGAUCUCUCAGGGUUCCCGCUGAUCUCUCAGGAUUCCCGCUGAUCCCGGUAUUCCCGGUUUUCCCGCAGGAUUCCCGGGAUGUGGCAGGGUUCCCGGUUAUCCCGGUUAUCCCGGUGAUCUCUCAGGAUUCCCGGUAUUCCCGGUUUCCCGCAGGGUUCCCGGGAUGUGGCAGGGUUCCCAGUGAUCCCGGUUAUCCCGGUGAUCUCUCAGGAUUCCCGGUAUUCCCGGUUUUCCCGCAGGGUUCCCGGGAUGUGGCAGGGUUCCCGGUGAUCUCUCAGGAUUCCCGGUAUUCCCGGUUUCCCGCAGGAUUCCCGGGAUGUGGCAGGGUUCCCGGUGGUCCCGGUUAUCCCGGUGAUCUCUCAGGAUUCCCGGUUUUCCCGCAGGAUUCCCGGGAUGUGGCACGAGGCGCGGAAGCACGAGCGGAAGCUGCGGGGGAUGAUGGUGGAUUACAAGAAACGCGCCGAGCGCCGCCGCGAGUACUACGAGAAAAUCGUGAGCCACACAACCAGUCUGGGCCAGUCUGGGCGUCC